ensembl:lncRNA
CACAAUUUAUAAUAAACAAACAAACGUUCCCCAUCUGGAAAAAAAAGAUGUAGCAAAGAGAAUAUUGUAAGGGAAAAAAGUUUCUGUCACAGAUAUGAAGCGAUACUUUGUGUGAUGCCUCUGUCCUCCAGAAAUCAGCAGCUGUACAAAUCGUUAGGUUGCUAAGGAUUAGGGCUAGCCAAAAUACGCUCUUUUACUGUCUUAAAUUUCCUCAAUGUAAGAGAAACGUAAGCUAAGCUGCUCUAACUGCAGAUGCUGCCACUACUUACAGAGGGAUGGAUUUGAUUCCUUCUGAAAUGAAUUUGAUGCUUGCAGGUGACCUGGGGGUGUGAACACUUGAUAUGCCACAGCUGUGAGGGGUCAGAGCCCCAAGGAAGUGCUCAGAGCCCACAUAGUGGUCUGCUGGAAGCAUGCAGAGCAAAGGUGGAUCAGGACAAAUGCAAGGUUGGGGCUUGCUGUCUGCUCACUUCACUUUUGUUUUUGUUGCUGCAGAAGUUGUGUGGCUUUGCUGUGCCACAUUCACUCUAAAAGGCAGAAGUCACACCCACACCUGAAGAAAAGGGUGUUGCAUAAGUUGCUAUAAAUACAGUACGAAUGAAAAGUGUCCUGCAAACCCAUCAGAUGACCGACAUCUGGGUGCAGCAGUGCAAACCAGUGCGGGCUGAGCAAUGGCUGACUUGUCUCUCCAUUUUGUGCCAAUUAAAUCCCAUGGAGCACCAAGAAGACCUCACCCAGGCCACCAAAGCAGCCCCAUUCCUUCCAUGGAAGCUGGGAAUGCUGCAUUAUGGCACGUGCUUUAGCCUCACCCAGAGAAACAUACCAGGCAGCAACAGUAACAAAAAACAAUGCAGCCAACCCACAGCUGAGGUCAGGGGAGUGCAGCUGAGAGGAUGCUUUGCCAUCCCUUCAUGCACUCUCUGCAGUGUGCAAAGCUGCUCCCAGUCCUGCCUGGUUUCCCGUGCUUGGUUGGAAAGAAAUGUGAAGUUUCCACGUUCCUCAGAUGUUAAUAUUCAUAACGUAUCGGCAACCCGGAAAGAAAGAAGAGAUUAAAGAUUCUCUUUGGUAAGGGAGAUUGCAAUGAAAUAAAUAGUGUCUUUUUGUUAAAGAUUAAGUACCUAAACUCCAAUCAACAAGUUUACUUUUCUUGAGUCAGAAACCAUGAAUCAUCUUGUAAAAUCAGAUCAAAUUCAAGAUUAGUUUCUCAUGGUAUUGCUGAGGAAUUUCAGUUAUUUCCAGAAAAGAGUUAUUUCUUUAACCAUAUCAAGGUUAGUUUGUUCAGUAUUAAUUUUUUCUUGCAUAAUGAGGGUUGCCCAAAGGUAAGGAAUGUCAAAAUCUAAAUGUGGAGUGGAAAAAGAAAAAAAGAAAACACUGAGUUUAGGACAAAAUGGAGAAAAUAAAGUGGAGACACAAAUGUAGCCUAUUGCAGCUAGGCAGAAAGUUCAUAAAAUCUUAUGAGGGUCUUGUUAAAUACUGCACAGAUAUAUUGAAUCUGUGGCUAUGGGAGACUUCAGCUCAUUAUGUGUGUUGGAAAUAAUGCCAUCGAGAAAGCUAUCAGAGCAUACAUUUCCAAAGUUUUAUCUAUUACAUGGCAGUCUUGCAGCUGCCCAGUAUCUAAGAUGCAUGCGAAAGCAUCAACAAAGCUGCAAGAUUCUAGUGGGUUUUCUUACAGGAGCUAGAAUCCGAAUUGCUCCAAAGCACUGACUCUGAGCUGGCGGUGCCAUUGCAAAAUCAAGCACACUGAGAUGCCUUUGAAACACCUUGCCUUCCCAAAGCUGUAUCUCUUUUUUGAUUUUUUUCCCCAGAAUAAAUUCUGAGAACUGCUAAUGUUAUUUCUGUCCUUGAAUUUCUGAGUAGUUCUAUUCUUUCUCUUCAGGUGCUAAUAUCUGGUAAACGGACCAACACCGCAAUGGAUUUUUAAGUAAUGUGUGUGUCUAGCCUGAAUCUAGAGGACUGCCUCAGGACUGCCUGCUUCUUCUCCAGCUAAUAUUGACCAGUAUUGACCAAAACAAGAGCAGUGCCUACCUGUCCUCAUUCAGCCCUCUGCUCAUUUUAUACAUGCCCAAGGUGACAAAGCACCAGCUCUUGACCUGGCAGCACAGAUGGAGCAUCAGCACAGAGGCUGCAAGGCUGAGGGUUCCCCAGCUCCUCCAGCCUGUAUGCCACCUGCAGCCUCAAAUGGGACAGAAACCAACACCCAACACUUAUUCCAUUCCAUUCCACUCCCAUGGGCAGCCAUCUGGGAGUGGCACAUGGCUGGAGAGCAUCACGUGCUUCCUGCUAUUGCAAGCAAAGGGGGUUCACCCACCCAUCUCCAUGCGGAGUGAAUCACCCUCUGGCAUCAGCCACCUCCCACCAGGUGCUACAGGUUUGUAGUAUAUAUCUGACUUCAGAUCAGUAAAUUCAGGGAAAAUUAAUCCCACCCUAUGGGUUUUUCUACCUCAGGUCGGUUAGCAAUGUCCCAUUACUACUUUAUUCUGGAGUAUUCUUAUAGUCAUGACAUAAAGUCAUUGCAAAAUCUUGCUUGCUACUGGAACAGUGAUGUAAAUUUCUAAUGCUUUUUUUUUUCUUUUUUGAUAAAUAAAGUCCUUAGCCUGAAUCAGUGGUGGUGAGCAAUAGCAGAAAUUGAAGCUACAACUCCAUGGGUAGAAUUUUUGAUGCAGAGGGUGACUAAUAUUUCUAAGUGAAAAGUAUCAUGCUAUUUUCACCUCCUGCUUUUCAAAGGAGUAGAAGGAGAGAAAGAAAAGGUGCUCAAUGAAAAACCCUGAGUUAGAUUUUUAAUGUCAUUUUUCCCCCUGCUGUUAUCCCCACCUUUUCCUUCACAUAGCGAGAAACUUCCCAAGGUUGCCAAUGGCACUAAAGCAGUCAGUCCACUUUCAGAAUUUCAGUCACCUCUUAAACACUUAGAGGCUGAAUGGAGUGAAAACCCGUUUUCAGAAGAG